UACGUAGGGUGCAAGCGUUGUCCGGAAUUAUUGGGCGUAAAGAGCUCGUAGGCGGUCUGUCGCGUCUGCUGUGAAAACUCAGGGCUUAACCCUGAGCUUGCAGUGGGUACGGGCAGACUAGAGUGCGGUAGGGGAGACUGGAAUUCCUGGUGUAGCGGUGAAAUGCGCAGAUAUCAGGAGGAACACCGGUGGCGAAGGCGGUUCUCUGGGCAUGACCUGACGCUGAGGAGCGAAAGUGUGGGGAGCGAACAGG
rnacentral:rRNA from 1 species